UACAGAGGUCUCAAGCGUUGUUCGGAUUCAUUGGGUGUAAAGGGUGCGUAGGUGGCGCCGUAAGUCAGGUGUGAAAUCUCGGGGCUCAACCCCGAAACUGCACUUGAUACUGCGGUGCUCGAGUACUGGAGAGGAGAUUGGAAUUUACGGUGUAGCAGUGAAAUGCGUAGAUAUCGUAAGGAAGACCAGUGGCGAAGGCGAAUCUCUGGACAGUUACUGACACUGAGGCACGAAGGCCAGGGGAGCAAACGGG
rnacentral:rRNA from 1 species